AACGAACGCUGGCGGCAGGCCUAACACAUGCAAGUCGAACGCCCCGCAAGGGGAGUGGCAGACGGGUGAGUAGCGCGUGGGAACCUUCCCAAAGGUGCGGAAUAGCUCAGGGAAACUUGGGGUAAUACCGCAUAAUGCCGAAAGGCCAAAGAUUUAUCGCCUUUGGAUGGGCCCGCGUCGGAUUAGCUAGUUGGUGAGGUAACGGCUCACAAAGGCGACGAUCCGUAGCUGGUUUGAGAGAAUGACCAGCCACACUGGGACUGAGACACGGCCCAGACUCCUACGGGAGGCAGCAGUGGGGAAUCUUGGACAAUGGGCGCAAGCUUGAUCCAGCCAUGCCGCGUGAGUGACGAAGGCCUUAGGGUUGUAAAGCUCUUUUGCCGGGGACGAUAAUGACGGUACCCGGAGAAUAAGUCCCGGCUAACUUCGUGCCAGCCGCCGCGGUAA
rnacentral:rRNA from 1 species